rnacentral:rRNA from 1 species
UACGUAGGGUGCAAGCGUUGUCCGGAAUUAUUGGGCGUAAAGGGCUCGUAGGCGGUCUGUCACGUCGGGAGUGAAAACUCGGGGCUUAACCCCGAGCCUGCUUCCGAUACGGGCAGACUAGAGGUAUGCAGGGGAGACUGGAAUUCCUGGUGUAGCGGUGAAAUGCGCAGAUAUCAGGAGGAACACCGAUGGCGAAGGCAGGUCUCUGGGCAUUAACUGACGCUGAGGAGCGAAAGCAUGGGGAGCGAACAGG